AGAACAUUGUAUCUCCAGACUGCCAUUCAGCAAGCUAUUGAUCACAUGUACCUUCAUCAUUAAAGUUUAGGAGAGGUUUGGAAACAGGAUACCCUCUCCCCCUUAGUUCUUGGAGCAGGAAUCAUCUGCCUCCUGUAUAUGAGAAUUUGGGCAGCAGGACUAAGCUACUGAGCAUGUGUGACCACGGGAACUGGACAUGUUGAGUGGAUGUUCUGAGAAGGAAUCGAAAGACUAUCAUAGGACAGUGUAACAAGUAUGUAUAACAAAAAUCAUGGCUUAUAAAAAAAUAAAACACCACUAGGAGUCCCCAUACCAUCCAGAGCAUAAUCCUCUCGGGCUGCAACAUCAUCUUUGUCCCAAGUACAGAUAUGGACAAAGUCCAGAAAGUGAGGGUGGAACUAGCGCUCCUCUGUGCUCACUCCUGUCCGGUCUAUCAGACUUCUGUCAGAGAAGAGGUGGUUACAGAGGAGCCUGGAGUGAUUGGAUGAAGAGACCCAGCACAGAACAGCAGACUCAGGUAGAAAGUGAAUGCAUGGUGAGUGAGGAUGGGCUCAGUAAUUCACGCAUAUACAUUGUAGCUAAAUUAUACUGAAGAUUCUUAGAAAUGGAGAUUUUUGAGAUAAAAAGUCAACCUUGAGGCAGAGAUUUUUCCUACAAAUUAUCCCAUUGAUAUCCCAAUCAGUUUCUAAGCAAGACCACAAUGGCUGGUAUCUGGGAACAAAAAAUGUAAUUCAGUUUCUAGAUUUAGG